AUGCUGAUGGUCGUUGAGUUUGGAUCUUCACCGUUCGAUGUUGGCAUGGGACAUGAGGAGAGCGACGACGAGUUGUCAUUAGUCUUCUAUGAAGCUGUGCAGCAGUGCAGACACAAGAAGGAACUCGGCGGACAAUGGUUCCGCCACACUAUUCCUUUCCUCGUGGAGGUGACAGGGCACCGGUUUAGAGUUUGGUUCGAGUACACGGUUGACUUCAGCUUCAUGUGCAUGGAAGGCGCCGUUCGAUGCUUCAACGAGAAGGACCGUGUCAUGAGUUGGAACCAGCCAGUGUGGAGGCUGCUGGUCUCUCUUCAAGUUUGGGUACGUGCACUGGUGAACAGGAGCCGUAGUGCGUGCUGUCCCAUGGUACAAAAACAAGAGAUCAUCUAUUGA
rnacentral:rRNA from 1 species